rnacentral:sRNA from 1 species
GCUGGGCAUGAUGGCUCAUACCUGUAAUCCCAGCUACUCAGGAGGCUGAUGCAGGAGGAUUGCAAGUUCAAGCCCAGCUUGGGCAACUUUUCCAGACCCUGUCUCAU